GUUGGGCUUGGAAAGGAGAGCUGUUGGUGUUGUUUCUGUGCCAGGAGGGCUGAUCUGAGAAUGGUUUUCUUGUGAGCCAGCUGCUGAGCAGCAGGCAGGUAUGGGGAAUCCUGGCUCCAGGCUGGAGACAUAGCUGCAAAUGGUGAUGCCUCCAGCCAGGAGGAUCGCCACUGAACAUGCAGAAUCAGAAAAAUGUGGUUACUGUUUUUUGGCUGGUUUAGGACAUUUCAUCUAUAUAGGACUUUCCUCUGUCAGGGUAGGCUGCGAUGACUCUGGCUUAAUGCCACAGCAGCCGAGAGCCUGGCAAUUUACUGUGCCUCAGCAGAAUGUUUCUUUGACAAGCGGCUAACCAGAGCCUCUGCUGAUGAAAGAUCCCCCAGCAAUUGCUUCCUUUCACACAAGAGGCUGUGCAGGUUUAGAAAAAAAACUAAGCAGCUGAACAAGAAAAUGCUGGGAUUCUUCCAAACAGGGAAAGCUUGCGAAUGAGCAAUGUAUUAAUGCACAUUAAAUGUGCCUGUACACAUCUGUACCUACACUUAAAGAGGUGGUACUGGGAUAUAAUUGGUUCUUGGCUGCAGCAGCCGGCAACAGCUCCUGGCUGCUGCAGUAAUCCCUUAGGAACAGCACAGCUCAUUAAAGCACAGGAGCUGGUGACCAGAGGCUUCUCCUUUUUGUGCAGCUGUGUCUGCUCUCAUCAGGGGUAGGUGGGUCUGAAAGAAAGUGAUGAAAUGCACUAAUCAGGGAGGGAAGGGUUCAACUUCAAAGCUUGGUGCUUUACCAAAUCCCAAAUAUUCUGGUGUGAGGAGCUGGGAGCGGUUUCAUAUUCCUGCUUACUGACUGGGAGGAGAUCAGCAGCACUGCAGUUACAGUAAGUCAUGGAUUAUGUUAGUCCCAAGGCCUCUUCUGUGCUGGAGGGUGUUGUCUCCUGCUUAAACUGGUGUUUUGAAAGGCAGAUCUUAUGAUACAAAUUGAGACAGUGCCAACUCUGAACUCUGUGCAGGUCUGACACAGGAGCUGGAGCUGAUGUGAGUGCUGGCAGAAGAAGAGAGGAUGAAGACAGCACUCCUGGGUAUCCCACUCCCAUCACACGUGAAGGCAUAGAGAGAAAUGAGAUGAAACAAAGGCUGGGAGCUGAGGAGAGACUACGCCAAGUGGAAACGAGGCAUGUCUGUUGAAAACACAAGGAGCAGGCUACCCAGCCUCUGCCCAAGAAGGUCUUUAAAGAUAAGAAUGGAACAGAAUGGCAGGAAGAGCAUUUGUCACCAAAUUCAUUUGUAAGACAAAGCAGCAAAUCGUUAAAUCACUGCCUGCAACUCCACGCGACAGCCAUAAACCAGUAAACACAGAAGGCUGAGUAAAGGUAACAAUUAAUUGGCAAUA